GAGAAGCAUGGCAAGGCAAAGAUGUGUAUGUACUGCUAGCAAAAAUAGGACCAUUCAAAAUCUUCUUUGCUGACAUACGUCGGACUGCUCCUAAUAUGGAGUUUGAAAGUGAGGUCAUGAAUGCCUACAUGCGCCUCAUUGUUGAAGAUUAUAAUAGGCAGUCCCCUGACAAAGUUGUGGCGAUAGAUACAUUUGAAAUGGCAAACAUCUGGAAUCACAAGCGGGCAAAAGUGAAA